rnacentral:rRNA from 1 species
UACGUAGGGGGCAAGCGUUGUCCGGAUUUAUUGGGCGUAAAGAGCGUGUAGGCGGCCAUGUAGGUCCGUUGUGAAAACUCGAGGCUCAACCUCGAGACGCCGAUGGAAACCAUGUGGCUAGAGUCCGGAAGAGGAGAGUGGAAUUCCUGGUGUAGCGGUGAAAUGCGCAGAUAUCAGGAAGAACACCCGUGGCUAAGGCGACUUUCUGGUCUGUAACUGACACUGAGGCGCGAAAGCGUGGGGAGCGAACAGG